rnacentral:ncRNA from 1 species
GAACUCUGGAGAGUCUCAGGUUAUGAGCGCCGAAGGUGUAACACAGAUGCGAUGCGUCUGUCUAUCUCUCAGGCAAAAGGACAGGGC